rnacentral:rRNA from 1 species
GUUACUGCUAUCGGAGUUCGAUUAAGCCAUGCGAGUCUAAAGGUUUCUUCGGAAGCCUUGGCGGACUGCUCAGUAACACGUGGAUAACCUGCCCUUAGGUCUGGCAUAACCCCGGGAAACUGGGGAUAAUACCGGAUAGAUCAGGGGUCGCUGGAAUGCGCCCUGAUCCAAAGCUCCGGCGCCUAAGGAUGGGUCUGCGACCUAUCAGGUUGUAGUGGGUGUAAUGUACCUACUAGCCGACGACGGGUACGGGUUGUGAGAGCAAGAGCCCGGAGAUGGAUUCUGAGACACGAAUCCAGGCCCUACGGGGUGCAGCAGGCGCGAAACCUUUACAAUGUGCGAAAGCAUGAUAAGGGAACUCCGAGUGCCAGCAUUAAAUGUUGGCUGUCCUUGUGCCUAAAACGCACAAGAUAGCAAGGGCCGGGUAAGACCGGUGCCAGCCGCCGCGGUAACACCGGCGGCCCGAGUGAUAGCCGCUAUUAUUGGGUCUAAAGGGUCCGUAGCCGGUUUGAUAAGUCCUCUGGGAAAUCUGAUUGCUCAACAAUCAGGCUGCCAAGGGAUACUGUCAAACUUGAGACCGGGAGAGGUAAGAGGUACUUCAGGGGUAGGAGUGAAAUCUUAUAAUCCUUGGGGGACCGUCUGUGGCGAAGGCGUCUUACCAGAACGGGUCUGACGGUGAGGGACGAAAGCUGGGGGCGCGAACCGGAUUAGAUACCCGGGUAGUCCCAGCCGUAAACGAUGCUCGCUAUGUGUCAGAUACGAUGCGACCGUAUCUGGUGCCGUAGGGAAGCCGUGAAGCGAGCCACCUGGGAAGUACGGCCACAAGGCUGAAACUUAAAGGAAUUGGCGGGGGAGCACUACAACGGGUGGAGCCUGCGGUUU